rnacentral:rRNA from 1 species
UGGGGAAUAUUGGACAAUGGGCGCAAGCCUGAUCCAGCCAUGCCGCGUGAGUGAUGAAGGCCCUAGGGUUGUAAAGCUCUUUCAGCGGGGAAGAUAAUGACGGUACCCGCAGAAGAAGCCCCGGCUAACUUCGUGCCAGCAGCCGCGGUAAUACGAAGGGGGCUAGCGUUGCUCGGAAUCACUGGGCGUAAAGCGCACGUAGGCGGAUCGUUAAGUCGGGGGUGAAAGCCCGGAGCUCAACUCCGGAACUGCCUUCGAUACUGGCGAUCUUGAGUCCGGGAGAGGUGAGUGGAACUGCGAGUGUAGAGGUGAAAUUCGUAGAUAUUCGCAAGAACACCAGUGGCGAAGGCGGCUCACUGGCCCGGUACUGACGCUGAGGUGCGAAAGCGUGGGGAGCAAACAGG